AUACGGAGGGUGCGAGCGUUAAUCGGAAUUACUGGGCGUAAAGGGUCCGUAGGUGGUCUGCUUAGUCUGAUGUGAAAGCCCCGGGCUUAACCUGGGAAUGGCAUUGGAUACUGGCGGACUAGAGUCUGGUAGAGGGUGGUGGAAUUCCCGGUGUAGCGGUGAAAUGAGCAGAUAUCGGGAGGAACACCAGUGGCGAAGGCGGCCACCUGGACCAAGACUGACGCUGAGGGACGAAAGCGUAGGGAGCAAACAGGAGUAGAAGCCCUAGUAGUCC
rnacentral:rRNA from 1 species